CGCUGCCCCGUCACCUGACCGCCGUGCGCGCGCACCGCACCGCGCACCGCACCGCCCCGCAUCCCCUCCCAUCCCGCGGGGGCGGGGGGUGCCCGGUAUAUACGGCCCCGCCGCCCCCGCCCCUCCUGCCUCCUGCAGCAGGGGAGGCCGCCGCUCGCCGCCGAGCCGCGCCCGGCCCCGCAGGUGGGCGAGCCGCAGCGGGGCCCCCCUACGCCGCGGGGUGCGGACCUGUUGCGGGCGGCUCCGCUUCUCCCCCCCAGCAGCACCGGGUCCGGUCCCAAGAUGGCAGCCGCUGCCUGGCCCCCUCCUGCGUUUUACUGCAACGUUGACCUUGACUGCGUUUCGUAUCUGAAGAAGAGCGACAUUUGGGUUUUCUAAUUUAGAAGCACAAAAGAGGUUGGAAGAGACAGUGUUAGUACCCAAUUCACAUGCUGAAAAAAGGUGCUUAUGUUAAAUUAUGGGCUGCUAGAGCUGGGACCAAAGAUAACAUUAUUAGACUUUUGCAAUAAAUAUGAUUAAUGGGACA
rnacentral:lncRNA from 1 species